rfam:Hordeum vulgare subsp. vulgare, WGS project CAJW01000000 data, contig: morex_contig_78697
AUCAUACUCCCUUCGUCCCCAAAUUCUUGUCUUAGGGCUGUCUAGAUAUGAAUGUAUCUAGUCACGUUUUAGUAUUUUGAUACAUACAUUUCUAAACAAACCUAAGUAUAGAAUUUUGGGACGGAGGAAGUAUAUG